rnacentral:rRNA from 1 species
UACGUAGGGGGCAAGCGUUGUCCGGAUUUAUUGGGCGUAAAGGGCGCGUAGGCGGUUUCUUAAGUUUGGAGUGACAGUGGGUGGCUUAACUACCCAAGGCCUCUGAAAACUGGGGAACUUGAGGACCAGAGAGGGACAUAGAAUUCCGGGUGGAGUGGUGAAAUGCGUAGAUAUCCGGAGGAAUACCAAAGGCGAAGGCAGUGUCCUGGAGGGUGACUGACGCUGAGGCGCGAAAGCUAAGGGAGCGAACAGG